UCUAUCAAAAAGAUUAUAUUAUUUGAUGCACAAUACAUUUUUGAAGCUCAUAUAAAUAUGAGCAUACAUAUCAUCAUGAGAUCUUAAACUAAGUAAAUUUUUUUUAUUUAUAUUUAUUCUUUGAUAUAUUGUUCAUUAUAUUCGCAUUAAUUUAGUCCUAAUUCCAUCCACAUUAUAUUGAUUAUAAAUAUGAAAUAGUAAAUGUUCACUGCGAUAAUUUUUAUGUUCAAUUUUAAUUUUUUAAAAAUAUUAUAUAUUAUAAUUUAUUAAUAAUUAAUAAUUGAUUAAAAAUCUGUGGCAAAUAAUGACAUAUUAUUGAGUCAAUUUAAAUACAACGUAAUUAAAAUAAUUAAAAUGUUGUAUUGAAAAUAUAUAGAUUAAUGAAGAAUACAACAGCUAAUAAUUUGUUUUAUAUAUAUGAUAUUAUAUAUGAUAUUUUCGUUAUUUAUAUUAUUGAUUUAAAAACAUGUUGAAAAAAUUAAAAAUUAAUUAAAUCGAUCAAAAUUAAUAGUAAAAAAAUAUAAGAAAAAUAAAAAAUUUAUUGAUAUAGAAUUUUCGAGAUGAAACACACAUUCGGAAUAAAAUAAGUUUGACUCGUGCCACGUAUGACAACAUAUUAUUGAUACAAAUAAAAAAAAAAAAUCGAUAAUUUGCUAACAGAUGGAAUUAGAAUUAACGCGUAUUAAAUGCUAAAAGCAUUCGCCAUCGCAGCAUCUUCGCAACGGUAUUAUAAUCGACGAUUGCAGGAACAUUUUUUUCGUAGUUUUUAAUUGUAAAUUUUCAGCGUCGCAAUAACCGAUAAUUGACACAAUACGCGCAAUAAGCGCGUUCUGUUUUCAUUUUUUUUCAUUAUCAUUAUAACUUUUUUUUUCUUUUUUUUUUUUUUUUUUUUUUUUUUUUUUUUUUGCUUUAACGAGCAAAGAGUAAAAUGGCGCACGCGUUGAACAUACCUUCUGUUUAAAUUCAAAGCACCGCCAGUUUUGAGCGCAAACGCAAUUUGUAGCACGUUAUCCGCAAAUCGAAGCUUGCAUUAUUCACCAGAGUCGCAUCUAUAGGCCACACGCAUAGGUGGAUAUCCACCACUGGGGACAGCACUGCCAGGUCUUCUACUAAACAUGUCUGCUUGUGGUCCAGGACCAGUACUAUAACUAGGUGCCCCAGUGCUGUAGCUGGGUCCAGUACUCAUUGGCCUGUUAAAUGGAGGCAUAUCAUUAACAGGGGGACCAUCCCUCCUGUCAUAGGCCAUUGAAGCUCCCUGACUUACCCCCCCGGGCCCACCCAUCAUAUCCCCAGGCCCGCCCGGAUAACCCCUGUCAUACAUAAUUGGAAUAUGUUAACCUAUUUUCACUCUAUCCUGCAUAAUGCACCAAAAUUUUCUCAAGCAUAAUUAAUUCAAGAUAUACUAUGGUUGCAAUUUUUAAAUUAGUAUAAGCAUUACAGGUUAGAAUAAAAAUAAAGUUUCAAUUCAUAAUCGUUAUACUAUCGUUAAAAUGUUUUAAAAUGCUACAAAAUACUUAUUCUUCUAUUAUAAAUAUUUUUUUAAAUUGUCAAGAUUUAUAUAAACUUUUCAAAUAUUAAAAAUGUGUUUUUUAAACACAUAUAACAUAUAGAAUCUUAUAAAAAGAAAAGUUAUUACUAAUUGUUAAUUCGAAUCUUUAAUAUUUAACUUAUUAUUUUUUAAAAUUUAUUAAAUUAGUAAAAAUGCAAUAAAAUAAAAUCUAAUGUGAUAAAUAAAA